CGGACAAUAGCGCAGUUGGUAGCGCGCUUGGUUCGGGACCAAGAGGUCGGCGGUUCAAAUCCGCCUUGUCCGA
rnacentral:tRNA from 1 species